rnacentral:lncRNA from 1 species
GUCCAGGGCUCUGGCGGCUUCAGGCGUGCGGGCCGAGGUCCCUGUGAGAGUCGGGUCCGCCCGGCCCGCACCUCCACCCUGCACACUUGCUUGGUUCCAAAUUCCCAGCUUCCUAAAGGUCCCAGGGGUGAUAAGAGCUUUCUGGAGUCAACUCUGUUUUCUGUUUCUGGAGUUCGAAACUCGGAUUGAGUUAAGUAGGACAAUGAAAUUAAAAUCACCGAAAGCAACAUUCCUGCUGUGGGAUUCUGCGAUUGUAGCUGCAGUGCGGAGCAUCCCACGAGGAGACAGGAAGUGGUGCCAACAUCGUGACGCCCCUCGGCCCCGGCCUCUUGGCACCUUGCCCCUCCCCACCGAGCCUGUACUUUAGUCGGCCAUGGUGACCUGCUUCCGACAGAGAGAACAUCUCCUUUGGUGUCAAGGCAAAAGCCUGGAACCUAACUUUGAUCUUCGUGUCCUGGUUGGGAGAAAGCAGGGUCAUUUUAAAAGCAAGAAGUUAUCCCAGCGUCGGGGCGCAUGCCUGUAAUUCCAGUUAUUUGGGAUGCUGAAGCAGGAGGAUCACAAGUUUGAGGCCAGCCUCAGCAACUUAACCAGGUCCUGUCUCAAAAUUUAAAAAGGGCUGGGAAUACAGUUCGGUAGUAGAGGGCCCCCUGGGUUCAAUUCCCAGUAUUGCAAAAAAUAAGUGAAAGCAAGAAGUUAGACUGGGGAUGUGGCUUAAUGGUGGAGCACUUUCCUAGCAAUGCAAAAUAAUUAUAAAUAAAACAAACCAAGGACCUAAUAGAAAAGGAAAACAAUGGUUGCAAGCGGGUAUGGAGGAAUGCAUGUGUCUGCAAAAGGGAAAGGAACCUGUGGAGAUGGAAAUACUCCAUACUUUGUGUCAAGGUCAAUGUCCUGGGGUGUGCUUUAUCAUAGUUUUCUAAUGUUACCUACCAGUGGGGGAGAACCGGGUAAACAGUACACAGGAUCCUUUUGCACAUUUUCUUAAAAUUGCCUGUGAACUAUUUAAAAAUUUUAAAAAAUUACCAUUAAAUUAUAAUUUAAAUGGCAAAGUCAUGGAUUCCAAUGAUGCUGUUAAGAGAUUAGUCAGUGGGGGCUGGAGUUGUGGCUCAGUGGUAAAGCGCUUGCCUAGCACUGGGUUUGAGUCUCAACACUGCAUAUAAACAAAA